CAGUGAACAAUUAAACGGCCGCGGUACCCUAACCGUGCAAAGGUAGCGUAAUCAUUUGUCUAUUAAUUGUAGACCAGUAUGAAAGGCAAAAUGAGGGUCCAUCUGUCUCUUACAGCCAAUCAAUUAAACUGAUCUCCUAGUAAAAAAGCUAGAAUCCCCACAUAAGACCAGAAGACCCUGUGAAGCUUUAACUAAACUAUUAAAUCAUCUAAUAACUCCUUUAGGUUGGGGCGACCGUGGAAAAAAGAAGAACUUCCAAUAAAUCAUGAUUAUAACCAUGUCUUCCUAGGCAGACCAGCCUAUUAAACCACAGACCCAGUACUACUGAUCAAUGAACCAAGUUACUCCAGGGAUAACAGCGCCAUCUUCUUCAAGAGCCCAUAUCAAAAAGAAGGUUUACGACCUCGAUGUUGGAUCAGGACAUCCUAAUGGUGCAGCCGCUAUUAAGGGUUCGUUUGUUCAACGAUUAACAGUCCUACGUGAU
rnacentral:rRNA from 1 species